rnacentral:rRNA from 1 species
GGAGUCUGGGCCGUAUCUCAGUCCCAGUGUGGCCGGUCACCCUCUCAGGCCGGCUACCCGUCGUCGCCUUGGUGAGCCGUUACCUCGCCAACUAGCUGAUAGGGCACGAGCGCCUCCCCUGGCGCCUUUCGGCUUUUACCUCUCGGCUUAUGGGGUAUUAGCGUCCGUUUCCAGACGUUGUCCCCCGCCAUGGGACAGCUUCUCAUGUUAUACUCACCCGUCCGCUGCUCCGCUCGCAUCUUCCAUGUCGCCACUUCAAAUACGUCGUCGCUCAACUUGCAUGUGUUACGCACGCCGCCAGCGUUCAUC